rnacentral:rRNA from 1 species
CAGGGCUUGACAUGCCACUGACCGGUGCAGAGAUGCAUUUUUAUCCUUCGGGGUACAGUGGACACAGGUGGUGCAUGGUUGUCGUCAGCUCGUGUCGUGAGAUGUUGGGUUAAGUCCCGCAACGAGCGCAACCCUUGUCUUUAGUUGCCAGCAUUAAGUUGGGCACUCUAGAGAGACUGCCGAUGACAAAUCGGAGGAAGGUGGGGAUGACGUCAAAUCAUCAUGCCCUUUAUGUCCUGGGCUACACACGUGCUACAAUGGUCGGUACAACGAGAAGCAAGCUAGCGAUAGCAAGCAAAUCUCUAAAAGCCGAUCCCAGUUCGGAUUGCAGGCUGCAACUCGCCUGCAUGAAGUCGGAGUUGCUAGUAAUCGCGGAUCAGAAUGCCGCGGUGAAUGCGUUCCC